AACGAACGCGGGCGGCAGGCUUAACACAUGCAAGUCGAACGCACCGCAAGGUGAGUGGCAGACGGGUGAGUAACACGUGGGGAUCUGCCCAAUGGUACGGAAUAGCUCCGGGAAACUGGAAUUAAUACCGUAUGAGCCCGCAAGGGGAAAGAUUUAUCGCCAUUGGAUGAACCCGCGUCGGAUUAGCUAGUUGGUGUGGUAAAGGCGCACCAAGGCGACGAUCCGUAGCUGGUCGGAGAGGAUGAUCAGCCACACUGGGACUGAGACACGGCCCAGACUCCUACGGGAGGCAGCAGUGGGGAAUAUUGGACAAUGGGCGCAAGCCUGAUCCAGCCAUGCCGCGUGAGUGAUGAAGGCCUUAGGGUUGUAAAGCUCUUUCGCCGACGAAGAUAAUGACGGUAGUCGGAGAAGAAGCCCCGGCUAACUUCGUGCCAGCCGCCGCAGUAAUAC
rnacentral:rRNA from 1 species